GUUUCUUCUCGGCCUUUUGACUGAUAUCAAGCGGAGUUACCGUUCUUGUCAGUUUAAUAUCAGAUGCACCCUCUAAGAAUCAUAUAUUAAAUAUAUUUUUUAAAGAUUUGUUUAUUUAUUAUGUAUACAGUAUUCUCUCUGCAUGUAUGCCUGAAGGCCAGAAGAGGACACCAGAU
rnacentral:snRNA from 1 species